AGAGUCGCACCGUUUGCUUAGCGCUGCUGCUGUUCGGGAGACGGAAUCGAAGCUCUUGCUCGGUACGCGCUGAAGCGUCGGAGCUCGCAUUCGGCUCUCGAAUUCGUCCGCGAUCGAGCUCGUUCAACCACCUUGUGAUCUGCGCUGAAUCGAUUGGCGUCUCGCGAACAUGAUGUCGCCGAAGCAAACCUCGGAAGAUCGAGGAUCGCCUCAGUUCGGG
rnacentral:lncRNA from 1 species